AUUUUUAGUUUUUCUUUUUGGUAUUUUUUGUUUCAAUGCAUGAUAUUUUGUGAGAUUAAUUGGAAAAAUUGUUAGCAAAUUAAGGAAUGAAUGUUGACGUUUAUAAUGCUGUAUUUGGCAAAGCGUAAUUCUACAUAUUUUAUUAAGCACAUUUAAAUGUGUUUUAGAAAUCAGUUAUAUUUUCUAUUUGAAUAAUCUAAUCCUAUAAAUAUAUCACUGUUAUU